AGUGCAGGCUCGAACAGCCGCAUUGUACCACACCUUUUCAGUUCAUAAAGCGUUAAGCAAAGCACGUUAUCCAGGCUGUCAUGUCUUUAUUUUUCCUAUUUGGUUUGUGCUGUUUUUCAAGCGUUCUUGCACAGUGGACUGCAAGAACUUGCCAGUCAAGCGGGCAUGUAUGCUUGCCGUUUUUCCUCUGCCCUUUGAAGCAAAUGGUGUUUGUGUAUGGCUGUAAAGGCAUCACUGUUUGCUGCGACCUCAGAACGACGGUUGCCUGCUCCUUGGAUGAAGGAAUUUGCCGGAGCAGCUGCAUACAUGAAAAUUUGCGCGCCAGUUGUCCUGGAGGCCAGAAAUGCUGCAUCUACAUGCCAUUAUGGAGAUCGUAACGCAAUCUUCAAUGCUGAGUAAAA
rnacentral:lncRNA from 1 species